rnacentral:rRNA from 1 species
UACGGAGGGUGCAAGCGUUAUCCGGAUUCACUGGGUUUAAAGGGUGCGUAGGUGGGCAGGUAAGUCAGUGGUGAAAUCUCCGGGCUUAACUCGGAAACUGCCAUUGAUACUAUCUGUCUUGAAUACCGUGGAGGUUAGCGGAAUAUGUCAUGUAGCGGUGAAAUGCUUAGAUAUGACAUAGAACACCAAUGGCGAAGGCAGCUGGCUACACGAAUAUUGACACUGAUGCACGAAAGCGUGGGGAUCAAACAGG